AGAUAAAUAAACUGUCACCUCUCAGUAUCCAUGGCUGCAGUUUUGCUAAUGCAGGUGGGGGAAAACCCAUAAUCUUCUGAUUGAGGGAGGCCUUACAUAUGAUGCAAUCAAGGAGUCUGUUCCUAAACCUGCAAUUGCUUUCAGGGAAGGAAAGAGACAUUCCGGUUCUCAUAUUCCCUGCAGGGCUUGCAGAUAUCAUAGAGGAGGGAAGUUGAUCCAUAGUCUAAAUAAAAAUGAGCAUGCUCUUGAAAUGGCUGCUCCUGUUCACGAAAAUUUUGGUGAUGCUGAUGGUCUGAUCAAUGACAAUGCUUCUGUAAAGAAGAGAACUGAUCUGCUGCUUCUUGGUGAUCACCUGGGAGACUUGGAAAUGUCAGAUGGUUUGGACUAUGAGACUCGAAUUUCUGUGGGUUUCCUGUGAGUUUGUAAUAUUGCUUGAUCUUUACCUGAUUAUCUCUACCAACUCCCCAUAUUUUUCACCACUCUGCUGGAUUCUGGUUUCCGAAGGGUUUAACAUUUUAUAACCAGUUUACAUGAUAUAGAGAAUAUCUGGUAAGGCAGGUGAAUGCAUAAUAGGAACUCAGAAUUCUGUCGGGCAUUUGGACACUGUACUAUUGAUGGAAGUUAUUAGAGAUGAGUUAUGGACUUCCAAUAAUCCUUACCACAAAACCGAAGCUUUACCUAAGGGAAAUUUGAAAGGGGUGUUUUCUUGGUUUGUUUGCGUGUCUGUGUAUGUCAGCAUGCAAUGUUAGGUGUCCUGGGCAUGCAAUGAAGAGAUUGCAAAUUUGAAAGAUACUUGGGCAUCUCACAAGAAGAUGUUGAAGAGUAGAACCAUUUGAAAAUUUCUAUUUCCUGAACCCUGUUUCAAUAGGAUCAAUUGCUUUUUCGUAUACUAAACAAUGAGUUCAUUUAGUUUCUCAACCAUCUGAACUACUGUUUCAGGAAUGACAACAUUGAAAACAAUCUCAGUCAAUACCGCAAAGCCUUUGACGUGGUUUAUAUGGUGAGCUGAUGUCCUUGUUACCUUGUUCUAUAUUUUUCAAGAAUGGCCUUGCUGAGCCUUCCAACCCAGGGUCAUAACAACACAGCCUAUGGGCAU